GGUAAUACGGAGGGGGCAAGCGUUGUUCGGAAUUAUUGGGCGUAAAGGGCAUGUAGGCGGUUUAAUAAGUUAAAAGUGAAAUACCAGGGCUUAACCUUGGAGCUGCUUUUAAUACUAUUUAAACUAGAGAUCGAGAGAGGAUAGUGGAAUUCCUAGUGUAGAGGUGAAAUUCGUAGAUAUUAGGAGGAACACCAGUGGCGAAGGCGACUAUCUGGCUCAGUUCUGACGCUGAGGUGCGAAAGCGUGGGGAGCAAACGAGAUUAUAUACCCUGGUACUCC
rnacentral:rRNA from 1 species